rnacentral:sRNA from 1 species
CUUCCUUCACCUUAUCAACAUGGUGGAGAGGAAUUGCCGGAGCUCUGAAAAUCCUAAUGAAGUGUUCCGCUUCUUGGUGGAGGAAAAGAUCAAGUGCCUGGCCACAGAGAAGGUGAAGUACACCCAGCGAGUUGACUACAUCAUGCAGCUGCCUGUGCCCAUGGAUGCAGCCCUUAACAAAGAGGAGCUUCUGGAGUACGAGGAGAAGAAGCGGCAAGCCGAAGAGGAGAAGAUGGCACUGCCAGAACUGGUUCGGGCCCAGGUGCCCUUCAGCUCUUGCCUGGAGGCCUACGGGGCCCCUGAGCAGGUCGAUGACUUCUGGAGCACGGCCCUGCAGGCCAAGUCAGUAGCUGUCAAGACCACACGAUUUGCCUCAUUCCCUGACUACCUGGUCAUCCAGAUCAAGAAGUUCACCUUCGGCUUAGACUGGGUGCCCAAGAAACUGGGUAGGCCUCCGGGAGCUGCUGAGGUGACCCUUUUCCCACAGAUGUGUCCAUCGAGAUGCCAGAGGAGCUCGACAUCUCCCAGUUGAGGGGCACAGGGCUGCAGCCCGGAGAGGAGGAGCUGCCAGACAUUGCCCCACCCCUGGUCACUCCGGAUGAGCCCAAAGGUAGCCUUGGUUUCUAUGGCAACGAAGACGAAGACUCCUUCUGCUCCCCUCACUUCUCCUCUCCGACAUCGCCCAUGCUGGAUGAAUCAGUCAUCAUCCAGCUGGUGGAGAUGGGCUUCCCUAUGGAUGCCUGCCGCAAAGCUGUCUACUACACGG